rnacentral:rRNA from 1 species
UUAAGCGACUAAGCGUACACGGUGGAUGCCCUGGCAGUCAGAGGCGAUGAAGGACGUGCUAAUCUGCGAAAAGCGUCGGUAAGGUGAUAUGAACCGUUAUAACCGGCGAUGUCCGAAUGGGGAAACCCAGUGCAAUUCGUUGCACUAUCGUUAACUGAAUACAUAGGUUAACGAGGCGAACCGGGGGAACUGAAACAUCUAAGUACCCCGAGGAAAAGAAAUCAACCGAGAUUCCCCCAGUAGCGGCGAGCGAACGGGGAGCAGCCCAGAGUCUGAAUCAGCUUGUGUGUUAGUGGAACGGUCUGGAAAGUCCGACGGUACAGGGUGAUAGUCCCGUACACCAAAAUGCACAGGCUGUGAACUCGAAGAGUAGGGCGGGACACGUGGUAUCCUGUCUGAAUAUGGGGGGACCAUCCUCCAAGGCUAAAUACUCCUGACUGACCGAUAGUGAACCAGUACCGUGAGGGAAAGGCGAAAAGAACCCCGGCGAGGGGAGUGAAAAAGAACCUGAAACCGUGUACGUACAAGCAGUGGGAGCACCUUCGGGUGUGACUGCGUACCUUUUGUAUAAUGGGUCAGCGACUUAUAUUCUGUAGCAAGGUUAACCGUAUAGGGGAGCCGCAGGGAAACCGAGUCUUAACUGGGCGUUAAGUUGCAGGGUAUAGACCCGAAACCCGGUGAUCUAGCCAUGGGCAGGUUGAAGGUUGGGUAACACUAACUGGAGGACCGAACCGACUAAUGUUGAAAAAUUAGCGGAUGACUUGUGGCUGGGGGUGAAAGGCCAAUCAAACCGGGAGAUAGCUGGUUCUCCCCGAAAGCUAUUUAGGUAGCGCCUCGUGAAUUCAUCUUCGGGGGUAGAGCACUGUUUCGGCUAGGGGGUCAUCCCGACUUACCAACCCGAUGCAAACUACGAAUACCGAAGAAUGUUAUCACGGGAGACACACGGCGGGUGCUAACGUCCGUCGUGAAGAGGGAAACAACCCAGACCGCCAGCUAAGGUCCCAAAGUCAUGGUUAAGUGGGAAACGAUGUGGGAAGGCACAGACAGCCAGGAUGUUGGCUUAGAAGCAGCCAUCAUUUAAAGAAAGCGUAAUAGCUCACUGGUCGAGUCGGCCUGCGCGGAAGAUGUAACGGGGCUAAACCAUGCACCGAAGCUGCGGCAGCGACACUAUGUGUUGUUGGGUAGGGGAGCGUUCUGUAAGCCUGCGAAGGUGACCUGUGAGGGUUGCUGGAGGUAUCAGAAGUGCGAAUGCUGACAUAAGUAACGAUAAAGCGGGUGAAAAGCCCGCUCGCCGGAAGACCAAGGGUUCCUGUCCAACGUUAAUCGGGGCAGGGUGAGUCGACCCCUAAGGCGAGGCCGAAAGGCGUAGUCGAUGGGAAACAGGUUAAUAUUCCUGUACUUGGUGUUACUGCGAAGGGGGGACGGAGAAGGCUAUGUUAGCCGGGCGACGGUUGUCCCGGUUUAAGCAUGUAGGCUGAUUGUCCAGGCAAAUCCGGAUAAUCAAGGCUGAGGUGUGAUGACGAGGCACUACGGUGCUGAAGUAACAAAUGCCCUGCUUCCAGGAAAAGCCUCUAAGCAUCAGGUAACAUUAAAUCGUACCCCAAACCGACACAGGUGGUCAGGUAGAGAAUACCAAGGCGCUUGAGAGAACUCGGGUGAAGGAACUAGGCAAAAUGGUGCCGUAACUUCGGGAGAAGGCACGCUGGUGUGUAGGUGAAGCCCCUGCGGGUGGAGCUGAGACCAGUCGAAGAUACCAGCUGGCUGCAACUGUUUAUUAAAAACACAGCACUGUGCAAACACGAAAGUGGACGUAUACGGUGUGACGCCUGCCCGGUGCCGGAAGGUUAAUUGAUGGGGUUAUCCGUAAGGAGAAGCUCUUGAUCGAAGCCCCGGUAAACGGCGGCCGUAACUAUAACGGUCCUAAGGUAGCGAAAUUCCUUGUCGGGUAAGUUCCGACCUGCACGAAUGGCGUAAUGAUGGCCAGGCUGUCUCCACCCGAGACUCAGUGAAAUUGAACUCGCUGUGAAGAUGCAGUGUACCCGCGGCAAGACGGAAAGACCCCGUGAACCUUUACUAUAGCUUGACACUGAACAUUGAGCCUUGAUGUGUAGGAUAGGUGGGAGGCUUUGAAGCGUGGACGCCAGUCUGCGUGGAGCCAACCUUGAAAUACCACCCUUUAAUGUUUGAUGUUCUAACGUUGGCCCCUGAUCGGGGUUGCGGACAGUGUCUGGUGGGUAGUUUGACUGGGGCGGUCUCCUCCCAAAGCGUAACGGAGGAGCACGAAGGUUAGCUAAUCCUGGUCGGACAUCAGGAGGUUAGUGCAAUGGCAUAAGCUAGCUUGACUGCGAGCGUGACGGCGCGAGCAGGUGCGAAAGCAGGUCAUAGUGAUCCGGUGGUUCUGAAUGGAAGGGCCAUCGCUCAACGGAUAAAAGGUACUCCGGGGAUAACAGGCUGAUACCGCCCAAGAGUUCAUAUCGACGGCGGUGUUUGGCACCUCGAUGUCGGCUCAUCACAUCCUGGGGCUGAAGUAGGUCCCAAGGGUAUGGCUGUUCGCCAUUUAAAGUGGUACGCGAGCUGGGUUUAGAACGUCGUGAGACAGUUCGGUCCCUAUCUGCCGUGGGCGCUGGAGAAUUGAGGGGGGCUGCUCCUAGUACGAGAGGACCGGAGUGGACGCAUCACUGGUGUUCGGGUUGUCAUGCCAAUGGCACUGCCCGGUAGCUAAAUGCGGAAGAGAUAAGUGCUGAAAGCAUCUAAGCACGAAACUUGCCCCGAGAUGAGUUCUCCCUGAGACUAUAAGUCUCCUGAAGGAACGUUGAAGACGACGACGUUGAUAGGCCGGGUGUGUAAGCGCAGCGAUGCGUUGAGCUAACCGGUACUAAUGAACCGUGAGGCUUAACCUU